CUCUGAAGGAAGCACAGUGCUUGAAGUACUUCAGUUCUGAAAGCCUCUCUUAUCCAGUGGAGCCCCUAAAUGAACAGCUGAUCUGGGUCAGCCCUAACAGACAGUGGCCUAACUUGAAACCCUGCUGUAGGCAUCUGUCUUUGGCUGCUGCUGGAAAUGAGACACUGGCUCGAUGAACCUCUGCUGUGGCCGCACACAGCUCUGUACCUCUACCAAAACCUGCCAGUGCAAUACACAAGUGUCUGUCGAGGCUCCUGCAAGCAUCCUGCUGAGUCUCUGUCGUGUUUUGCUGCGUGUUUCCAACUGCAGUGGCAGUUCAAGGAUGUGUGACACAGAAGGAGCCCAUCUGCCAGUGAGAUAAGGGACUCUGCCUUAUGCUUGUGGUUGGAUGCAGGCUCCCACUCUUCUGCUUUCAGUGGUGCCUGAAAUUUGCCUAGCAGCCCCUUUAGUUUUAAAAUGUAUAUUAGUAAUUUGGAUUUACACACUGCCUGGGGUUUGUGUGGCUGUUCUUGCAGUGUAAACAUGUGUGUUCAGUUUUUAGGUCUCUGUGCACAGAAAGCAGUUCUUCUCAUUGUUAGCUCUCUGCUUAAAUAAAAGCUAAUAAAGAAA